UUUGCAUGAUGAAUGAGUAAUGAAACUCUUCAAAUUAUUGGGAAAAACUUGUGAAUUAAGGGGGAUGUGUAUCUAUUAUGUGUUAAAAAGGAUUGCAUGCUGAUUUCUAGUGAAAGUUGAAAGCUAUGAACAAAUCUUUAGGGCAUGCUAUGACUGUGACAUGAAAAUCCAGGGACUGUGCAUGACUUUGUAACACGUGAUUGAUAUAAUAAUAGCAUCGAAAUUGCCUCAAAUCACCACCAUUAGAAAUGUCUCUGAGUCUAUUUUAAUCUUCAUGUUUGGGUCCAAUUGAAAUUCUGAAUCAUUUGAAAGUUAUACUUCAUUUUAUGGACCUAUAUCACUGUUGACAGACUGUGUAAAUUUUAAGAAAUGUGAUUCUAGUUACACUGAGGUUUUGUUUGACCAAAUGAAGUCUAAAUAACUCAUAACUACAACCAUUUGAAAGAUACAUGACUUUAACAUGAGUUUCAUGUUUUAACCUUAUCCAAAUUCUGUAUAAUUUAAGAGUUGUGUUUGAAAGUAUGGGGAUAUGUCAUUGUUGACAGAUUGCAGAAAACUUACAAUUUUUAUUCCUGUUUUCAUAAGUUUAAAAUGAUUGAAUGAAGUUAAAUUUCCUUCAAACCACUGUCAUUUGAAAGGUUUAUGUGUUCUUUUGAAUUCACACGUUGAAAGUAUUUUGAAAUUAUUUGAAAAUCAAGAUUUAUACAUCAAAUUAUGAGAAUACGUCACUGAUGACCAAACUCGGCAAUUUCUAGAAAUAUUGCUUCUGUUUCCUUAAGCUGUUGAUGGACCAAAUGGAGUCCAAAUGCUCUCAAAUUACUAUCACAUGAAAGCCAAGAAUGUUAACUUGAAAGUUUGUUUUUGAAUUAUAUUGAAAUUCCGUAUAAAAUUGAUGUUUAUAUCCCUUUUUAUAAAACAUACCCCAAUAUGACAUUUCAGAAUCUCAAGAUUCUAUAUUAACCCUAAAGUGGUCAUGCUCAAUUAAGCUUCAUACGUUUUUGCGAUUGAGGGAGGCCCAUACCCACUCUGAAA
rnacentral:lncRNA from 1 species